GACGGAGGGGGCUAGCGUUGUUCGGAAUUACUGGGCGUAAAGGGCGCGUAGGCGGAUCAGUAAGUUGGGAGUGAAAGCCCGGGGCUUAACCUCGGAACUGCUUUCAAAACUGCUAGUCUAGAGUGAAGUAGGGGGUGAUGGAAUUCCUAGUGUAGAGGUGAAAUUCGUAGAUAUCGGGAGGAACACCAGUGGCGAAGGCGGCGACCUGGACCGAUACUGACGCUGAGGUGCGAAAGCGUGGGGAGCAAACAGG
rnacentral:rRNA from 1 species